AUUUAGCUGGAGUCCCAAAUGGGACGAAACGCGCAUCCUUGAU
rnacentral:hammerhead_ribozyme from 1 species